GCGUUGUCCGGAGUCAUUGGGCGUAAAGAGCGUGUAGGCGGCCCGGUAAGUCCGCUGUGAAAGUCGAGGGCUCAACCCUCGAAUGCCGGCGGAUACUGUCGGGCUAGAGUCCGGAAGAGGCGAAUGGAAUUCCUGGUGUAGCGGUGAAAUGCGCAGAUAUCAGGAGGAACACCAACGGCGAAGGCAGCUCGCUGGGACGGAACUGGCGCUGAGACGCGAAAGCGUG
rnacentral:rRNA from 1 species